rnacentral:lncRNA from 1 species
CAAUCCAACCUUAGUAUCUUGCCACUAAAAAUAUUUUUGUGAAGUAUAAUUGGGGCAAACUUUCCUCUAAUUUUCUUUGUGUGUACAGGUUUCUGGCAAUUAAUGUAUUUCUGACAUUAGCCCUCCUUUGUCUUUUCAUGCUAGAAGUUGUGCCAGAGUAUGAUGAGAGGAGAAGUGCCCCAUGUCCAGCGUUUUCCAAAUGUGUGAAAUCUUUCCAAUUCUGGGAUUCAGGUAGCAAGUCAAUUCUACUAAUGGACCUAAAGCCACAGUAUGCUUUUUGGCUUCUGGCAAUGAUUGUACAUAGACAGUCCAUAAAUCUGAGCACUAGUACUGGAAGCAGAAGGGACGGGGGAUGAGGAAUCACUUCAGAGAGGUGAAACUUACAAGGAAUCCCAUAAAAGAGCUAAUUAAUAGAACAACAUAUCUACAACCAUACAAUCUUUGAUAAACCUGACAAAAACAAACAACAGGGAAAGGAUUCCCUGUUUAAUAAAUGGU